rnacentral:rRNA from 1 species
ACGGAGGGGGCGAGCGUUGUCCGAAGUUACUGGGCGUAAAGCGCGUGUAGGCGGGUUGUUAAGUCCGCUGUGAAAGCCCGGAGCUCAACUCCGGAGGGUCGGUGGAUACUGGCAAUCUUGAAGGUGCUAGGGGGAGAUGGAAUUACCGGUGUAGCGGUGAAAUGCGUAGAGAUCGGUAGGAACACCAGUGGCGAAGGCGGUCUCCUGGGGUAGUCUUGACGCUGAGGCGCGAAAGCUGGGGGAGCGAACGGGA